CACGCCGUAAACGUUGAGAACUAAGUGUUGGGGAGACCCAGUGCUGAAGCUAACGCAUUAAGUUCUCCGCCUGAGGAGUACGCACGCAAGUGUAAAACUUAAAGGAAUUGACGGGGGCCCGCACAAGCAGUGGGGCAUGUGGUUUAAUUCGAGGCUACGCGAAGAACCUUACCAGGGCUUGACAGGAAACUUAAGACCCUAGAGAUAGGGGGAUAAUAAGUGAAACAGGUGG
rnacentral:rRNA from 1 species